rnacentral:rRNA from 1 species
CCUACGGGUGGCAGCAGUCGAGAAUCAUUCACAAUGGGGGAAACCCUGAUGGUGCGACGCCGCGUGGGGGAAUGAAGGUCUUCGGAUUGUAAACCCCUGUCAUGUGGGAGCAAAUUAAAAAGAUAGUACCACAAGAGGAAGAGACGGCUAACUCUGUGCCAGCAGCCGCGGUAAUACAGAGGUCUCAAGCGUUGUUCGGAAUCACUGGGCGUAAGGCGUGCGUAGGCUGUUUCGUAAGUCGUGUGUGAAAGGCGCGGGCUCAACCCGCGGACGGCACAUGAUACUGCGAGACUAGAGUAAUGGAGGGGGAAGCGGAAUUCUCGGUGUAGCAGUGAAAUGCGUAGAUAUCGAGAGGAACACUCGUGGCGAAGGCGGGUUCCUGGACAUUAACUGACGCUGAGGCACGAAGGCCAGGGGAGCGAAAGGGAUUAGAUACCCGUGUAGUC